UACGUAGGGUGCAGGCGUUUAAUCGGAAUUACUGGGCGUAAAGCGUGCGCAGGCGGUUUGCUAAGACAGGUGUGAAAUCCCCGGGCUUAACCUGGGAACUGCGCUUGUAACUGGCAAGCUAGAGUGUGGCAGAGGGGGGUGGAAUUCCACGUGUAGCAGUGAAAUGCGUAGAGAUGUGGAGGAACACCGAUGGCGAAGGCAGCCCCCUGGGCUAACACCUGGACGCUCAUGCACGAAAGCGUGGGGAGC
rnacentral:rRNA from 1 species